AAAGCAAGUGAAUCAUCAAAUAUGAAUCUAUGUUUGUGAUUUUUAGAUCAUUUAGAAACGUUUCUUCAACUUCGUUUCGUGUAUCAAGGAGUACAGAGUUAUUAUUUCGCCGUUUCUUUUCAAUGAAGCUUUACACAGAUAAAUAUAAUCCAUUUACUUUACGAGUUUUGGUAGCAGAUAGAUUGGCUGGGACGGCAGUCGGUGUGCAGCACGUGCAAAAAGAUG